GGACAGAUGGCCGAGCGGUUUAAGGCACCGGUCUUGAAAACCGGCAAGAAUUAUAUUCUUCGUGAGUUCGAAUCUCACUCUGUCCGCCA
rnacentral:tRNA from 1 species